rnacentral:ncRNA from 1 species
GGACGAAAGUCGGGACUAGUGAUCCGCGGUGGCUUGUGGAAGCGCCGUCGCUCAACGGAUAAAAGGUAACCCCGGGGACGUAACAGGCUGAUCUUCCCCUAAGAGUCCAUAUCGACGGGAUGGUUUGGCACCUCGAUGUCGGCUCGUCGCAUCCUGGGGCUGGAGUCGGUCCCAAGGGUUGGGCUGUUCGCCCAUUAAAGCGGUACGCGAGCUGGGUUUAGAACGUCGUGAGACAGUUCGGUCCCUAUCCGCUGUGCGCGUAGGAGUCUUGAGAAGGGCUGACCCUAGUACGAGAGGACCGGGACGGACGAACCUCUGGUGUGCCAGUUGUUCUGCCAAGGGCAUGGCUGGUUGGCUAC